rnacentral:rRNA from 1 species
AUACGGAGGGUGCAAGCGUUAAUCGGAAUUACUGGGCGUAAAGCGCACGCAGGCGGUCUGUCAAGUCGGAUGUGAAAUGCCCGGGCUCAACCUGGGAACUGCAUCCGAAACUGGCAGGCUUGAGUCUCGUAGAGGGGGGUAGAAUUCCAGGUGUAGCGGUGAAAUGCGUAGAGAUCUGGAGGAAUACCGGUGGCGAAGGCGGCCCCCUGGACGAAGACUGACGCUCAGGUGCGAAAGCGUGGGGAGCAAACAGGAUUAGAUACCCUGGUAGUCCACGCCGUAAACGAUGUCGACUUGGAGGUUGUGCCCUUGAGGCGUGGCUUCCGGAGCUAACGCGUUAAGUCGACCGCCUGGGGAGUACGGCCGCAAGGUUAAA